GACGAACGCUGGCGGCGUGCUUAACACAUGCAAGUCGAGCGGUAAGGCCCUUUCGGGGGUACACGAGCGGCGAACGGGUGAGUAACACGUGGGUGACCUGCCUUUAGCUCUGGGAUAAGCCUGGGAAACUGGGUCUAAUACCGGAUACGACUCCGCGGUGCAUACUGUGGGGUGGAAAGCCUUGUGCGGCUGGAGAUGGGCCCGCGGCCUAUCAGCUUGUUGGUGGGGUGAUGGCCUACCAAGGCGACGACGGGUAGCCGGCCUGAGAGGGCGACCGGCCACACUGGGACUGAGACACGGCCCAGACUCCUACGGGAGGCAGCAGUGGGGAAUCUUGCGCAAUGGGCGAAAGCCUGACGCAGCGACGCCGCGUGAGGGAUGAC
rnacentral:rRNA from 1 species